GCUCAGUGGAAGCUAAGCAAUUGGACAAAGCCAUCUAAACCCAAAGCAAUGGCUCGAUGGAGUUCACCAGGGAGGAUCUUGCUCUGAUCUAAAUAUACAGUGGAAAUCUGAUGUGAUCUAGGCUGCUGCACCUCAUCUACUAAAACCAAAUCCUGGAAAAGAUUUCUAUGAGAUGGUUUCUGUCAUUCUUCCUAAACUGGGAGCUAAGUGAUUAAUAUAGAGGAAAACUCACAGAUAAACAUAUCUCUGCAAAUGCAAAUAAGUACUAAAGUGCUGGUAACCAACAUCCCCACCCUGGUUCCUCUUAGCACUUCAGUCAAAGGCACACUUCGAACAGAAGAAUCUGAACCACAAAUUUAGCCAGUCUCUACUACCUUCAGAAAGGCUUCCAGAAGUCAUUUUCCUCCCAGACCUCCUAGAUUUCUAAUUUCUCUAUUCCUGCUAGGAGGGACACUACUACCCAAUCUAGGAGUAUCUUGGAAGAUUCAAGUGGGAAACCAUUCAGAUCUGUCUCUUCCCCUCAUCGCAUCAACAUUUUAAUCUGUCUCUACACAACGCAGGAUUCACAAGGGAAGUCUCAAAUCCCAUAGCGUUGCUUACAAGCAGCGUGACAACAAGGAUGAAGCCAGAGAGGCACCUAUGGUACAAAAUUUUAAAAGGAUGAAUUUCCCUCAACCUUAAGAAGAGAUGGAAUGUUCAUAAUGAGGAAGAAGUCUUCUGAUUUUCUAAAUAGGUAAUCACAACACAGAAGAGUGAAGAAGGACACAGGCUCUUAGCCACCAUGGCCUAAAACUGUCCCACACCUCUUCAACUCACAUCCUACUGUCCACAACCAGUCAUCAGUCAUGUGCAACGUUCACACAUAAAAGCCCUGGAAAAUGAAGGCCAGUGAUUUGCCUAGGAAAAGUAGAUGAAGAGAGCAGACUGGCCUUACCUUUGAAUAACCCUAAGCAAGUUAUCAACCUGUCUUAACCUACUUCUUCUUCUAAAAGAUGGGAAUAACAACACCAGCAUCCUUCUAGUGUGUGAAAGUUCAAA
rnacentral:lncRNA from 1 species